rnacentral:lncRNA from 1 species
GUGCGACUAACGUCAACUCAGUAUAACUUGUACAUAGUAUACACUUAGUAGUAACUCUUUCUUCUAUUAUUUGCUUUAUUAGUGUCAGUGAGUGUAGUUUUCUUCCACAUGUAUUAUUUCUAUUCCAGGAAAGAAAAGCAACGUCAAGGAUCAUCCUGACUAUGUCCCGUCAAUAUUCCCUCACAUGCCUCAGCCUCAGUCGGACUCACCGAGAAAGCGGAAAUUGAGCAGAUUCAACAGAGCCCUAAGCAGAAAGAAAAUAGCUACACCAAUGGCAAAAAGAAAUCUCCGUGAAGAGUAUCGUGAGCCAGUAGCAGAGCAGGAGGUGGACGAGGAUCAACCUGCAGAGUUGCCACCCAGACCUGCGAGUCCGCAAUUGGAGGAUAGAGAUCUAGAGCUCGAGAUUCCAGCUGGGCGGUCUUCAAGCUCCACUGGCGCAAAGUGAGAGAGAGAUGCUCUACCGCGAAAUGGAUGCAUUACGCCAAGAACGUACCCGUGCAAUAGAUCAAGUAAACGAACUUGAAGUUUUACUUUUGAACAGUAGCCUGUCUGUAGCUGGGGUCCAGGAUAAUGAAAAAAAAUGCAAAAUGCUCACAGGCAUUGGUUGGUUUGUAUUCGUGAAAUUAUUUGAGUUCCUCAGCUCAUUUCUCGGCAGCAAAGCAACAACUAAGGCCAGCCUCCCCCCGCGCGAGCAACUUUUUAUUACUUUAGUAAAGUUGAGACACGGCGUUUCCUUUGAACUUUUGGCAACAAUAAGAGGAAUCAAAAAAACUACAACAGUUGAUUAUUUCUGGAAGUGGAUUGACUUACUUCAUGCAAAAAUAGGAUUCCUUAUCAAAUUUCAGGACCGAGCAAGAAUCUUCGAAAUUAUUCCACCUGUUUUUAAAAGCAAAUUUCCGCGUCUUACUUGUAUCAUUGAUUGCUUUGAGAUUUUUAUUGAUGCACCGAGAAAUCUGAAAGCCAGAGCGCAGAACUUGCAGCGUCAUGUGGUGCAACUCUCCUUAUUCCAGCAUUUACUAAGGGAAAACGGCAACUCUCAGCUGCAGAGGUAGAGACAUCCAGACAGAUAUCUUCAGUUAGAAUUCACAUUGAACGUGUUAUAGGACUGUUGAAAAACCGGUACACAAUCCUAAAAGGUCCACUGCCUAUUCAAAGUGUUAAACGAAUUAAAGAUGAAAUUAAUAAUAAUGAACUUGUAAGCAGUGACAAGAUUGUUAGAGUCUGUGGUGCACUGUUAAACCUCAGUGAAAGUAUUGUUUACAGUGAGUAAUGGUAUUGUUCCUACACUACAGGCAGUGCUGUCAUUAAUUGGAAAAAAAUUAUCGAUAUAUUGGUUGCAGCUGAGUUGCCGUUUCCCUGAGUUCCGUUUAGUAAAAGGUUAGUUUUGAAGUUAAUUUCUGACGUUGUUGGUUUGCACAUGCAACGGAACUAUAUCGAUAUUGGUUCAUUGUGUAUCGAUGCGAUGAGUACAACUAAAUGCUAUAAAUUUAUAAAUAGUUUCUCCGUAUCUAAAAUGUAUUUGUUAUUGGUGUAUAAUGAAUUCACUGCAAUAAACAUUUUUAACCACAGAAAAAAA